GUAUUAGAUGAGUGGGUAUCGCUUGAGGCAGGUUAUCCAUGACAGCAUGGAAUUAGAUCAGUGGGUAUCGCUUGAGGCAGGUUAUCCAUGACAGUAUAGUGUUAGAUC